rnacentral:rRNA from 1 species
GAUGAACGCUAGCGAUAGGCUUAACACAUGCAAGUCGAGGGGCAGCACCAGGUAGCUUGCUCUCUGGGUGGCGACCGGCGCACGGGUGCGUGACGCGUAUGCAACUUGCCCUAUACAGGAGGAUAACCCGUCGAAAGCCGGACUACUACUGCGUAUGCUCACAACUAGGCAUCAAGUGGUGAGGAAAGAAAUUCGGUAUAGGAUAGGCAUGCGUCCCAUUAGCUUGUUGGUGAGGUAACGGCUCACCAAGGCAACGAUGGGUAGGGGAACGGAGAGGUUUACACACCACACCGGUAAUGAGACACGGACCAGACUCCUACGGGAGGCAGCAGUAAGGAAUAUUGGUCAAUGGGCGCGAGCCGGAACCAGCCAAGUCGCGUGAAGGAUGACUGUCUUAUGGAUUGUAAACUUCUUUUAUACGGGAAGAACAAGAGUAACGUGUGACUCCCUGCAUGUACCGUAUGAAUAAGCAUCGGCUAACUCCGUG